rnacentral:ncRNA from 1 species
UGAUAGAGGUGCGGACUUCAUCAGUAGCAUCGGCACAUCCCACGAUGAGGGACGAUGUAAAAGGGGAGCGCCGCCGAAGGGGCGAGGGACAUCAUCGAAGUUCUCCGUCUCUGGGGUGCGGGAUAACAUCACGCGCACUGUCGCCUCCAGGCGGAGAGCUAUCGU